rnacentral:lncRNA from 1 species
GAUUAGCAACCUUAUAAAAGUUAAUGAUGUAUUUCAUGUUGUAGGAGGCCUGUUCUGAGAGACUAUUGCUGCACUUGAAGUGCCCUCACAAGCUGUAGACCACGGGAAGGUCUGAGACCUAGUAAGGGAAAAACAAUCUUGUGCUCGAAUGGAGACUUCUUUUUAAAAAGAUCGUGCUUUUUGAGCAGCGAGAACUCAGCUCCUGUUUGCGCAGUCCAGACAUGUUGGAUAAUUGUGGCAAGUGUGCAUCCCUCUCUCCAUAUGAGAGUGCUGAACAGCAGCAGUUGCUGGGACUCCAGGUUCCCUGAAGCAGCACCUCGGCUGGGAGCAGUGUGGCAGUGUCUAUUGGAGACAAGCAGUGACAAAGCAUUCCAGGAGAAGCUUCCCCAGGAGCAAGGCAGGUCUUUCUGAAGCAACUACCCCUUUAAAAACUGUUUUGAGAAGCACGUGUUAAGUUGCACCACUCCUCAUGUUGAUUCAUGUCAGUAGAGAUGUAUUUGGUACAGCUUUGUUAGCUCUUGCUACAUAAUCGAAUAUGUCCAGCUGCUAGCUUUAAUGUAAUACUUGUUUCCAUUAUGCCCAGGAUAAUGUCAAUACCUGAGACUUAAUCAAAUGCUUGACAAAGCUGAGAUGAAGACAAUGGAUUCAAUUAUCUCAGAUAACUGAUUUUCUUUGUAUGAUGUUGUCAAUGUUCAAAAGGCUAGGUGGAUUAACAGUCUGUCAAGAAUUGGCAGGCUUGUGCUAGUCUUGCGUCC